rnacentral:lncRNA from 12 species
CCGCGGCAGCUCCCCGUGGCUCUGACCCGGGUACCAUGUGCGGCUGAGCUGGGGAGGCUCGUUGCCAUAGCGACCGCUGCUAAAAUCCUCCCCCCUCGCCGCGCCGGGAUGCAGUCGGUCGCAGACAGCUCUUGUUCGUGUGGGGGAAGGCGGGCGGUGGGGUGCCCCGGGGAGGUUGGAGCGGGAUUGACACUGCCGGGGAGGCAGUGGGCGAAACCCCCGGGAGUCCCGGGGGCAAUGAGGCCACGCUGCUGGCUGCCUGUCCUUCCCCCGCCCGCCGCGGCUGCUCCCGCCAUCCCUCCCUCCCUGCCUGCCUCCCUCCCAUCCGCGCCUGUCGCCUCCCGCUGUCACCCAGCUCUCCCGGCGCGCGGUCCCUUCUCCCUGGCACUGCCUGGCCGGGAAAGGAGCCUGACUCAUCCCGGCUGGGAGCCGGCAGAUGCUCGAGGGAGCAGUCUCAUCCCGUCGCCCUGCACCCGUGGCAGAAGGGCAACGCUGCUCCGGACUCACCUCACACCCGCCUGGCCAGAGGUCCUUGGCAAAGCAGAUCGGCUGCUCCCGCCAUGCCCCACUUCUUGGAUUGGUUUGUGCCCGUGUAUCUGAUGAUCUCCAUCCUCAUCCUGGUGGGCUUUGGAGCUUGCAUUUACUACUUUGAACCAGGACUCCAGGAAGCCCAUAAGUGGCGAACACAGAGGCCAAUCAUGGAGCGAGACCUUCGGAAGACACUGAUGAUUCGGGACAACCUGGCCUUUGGGGUGCCUGAGGUCUGACAAGCUGCCCAUCACAGCCAGAGGAAUCUCUCCUGGGUAGGCAGCAGAACACAAGCCUCACUAGGAAUGGCAGUCCUGCCCUGGUACAAGUGCAGCUGCUCAUCACUUUGCUCUGUGCUGAUCUGGGUCUUAUACUCGUCACUCACCAUUCUGCCCCUUUGCUUCUCAGUCAAGAUUUGUGUGGCUGGGGCUUCCUGUGUGCUCACAGCUCUUCAGCCAGCCAAGGACUUCUGUUCCUUCCCAUGGCCAAGACUGAUGAACCACUCAAACGAAAUAUCUCUUGUUAAUCACUUGAGUUUGAGCUGCCUGGCAUCUUGACAGGACCUUUAGUAGGAAAGGUACCAGCUUUUGCAAAGGGAUACAGAACCUUGUACUCCUAUUCCCUAGGUUAAAUCUAACAUAGUUAAAGUCCCAGGGGUAUUUUGGGGAAAAUAAAUGGGGUUUCAAUACAAAUUGUUGCUUCAGCUGAGCUCUUCCCAGCACCCACUCUUGGUGCCAGGAUGGUGAGCUUGCUGAAGCUCUGUGCAGAGGGACCAAGGGCUCAGUGAGCCUCAGAGACUGAAUGCCUUUAUCCUUGCUAAAUGCACACCCCUUCCAUAUCUGUUUGGGAGAUGGUGAACAUCCAUACAUCCAUUCCAAAUGCACCACAUUCAAAUUAAAGGUCUUUAUUAAAGA